GUGAGGAAUAUUGGUCAAUGGGCGAGAGCCUGAACCAGCCAAAUCGCGUGAAGGAUGAAGGUAUUAUGUAUUGUAAACUUCUUUUAUCGGGGAAUAAAGUGCGGGACGUGUCCCGUUUUGUAUGUACCCGAAGAAUAAGGAUCGGCUAACUCCGUGCCAGCAGCCGCGGUAAUACGGAGGAUCCAAGCGUUAUCCGGAUUUAUUGGGUUUAAAGGGUGCGUAGGCGAACUGUCAAGUCAGCGGUGAAAGUCCAUGGCUCAACCAUGGAAUUGCCGUUGAAACUGUCGGUCUUGAGUGUAGAUGAGGUAGGCGGAAUUCGUAGUGUAGCGGUGAAAUGCUUAGAUAUUACGAAGAACUCCAAUUGCGUAGGCAGCUUACCAGGCUACAACUGACGCUGAGGCACGAAGGUGCGGGGAUCAAACAGGAUUAGAUACCCUGGUAGUCC
rnacentral:rRNA from 1 species